rnacentral:lncRNA from 1 species
AAACCUUGCCCAUGAGUUGUGAGCCUAUAGCAAACACGAGCCAUCAGUUUAGCCAGCAUUACCCAAUUGGACCGCCGUUAUCUAGGGAUACCAGUCCAGUACCGCAAAUGGCAAAACAAGGAGCGGAAGGGGAUCGAGGGCCACCUCAAGAAAAAACUUAGUGAUUGGAAAGGAAAACUCCUGUCAUAUGGAGAUCACUCGGUUCUAGUAAAUUCGGUGCGUACCAUCUUCCCUAUGUUCUGCCAUUUUUCGAGAUUUCCGUUGGGGUUCUAGCAAAUUCGGUGCUUAUCCGCUCAUGGUUUUUUGGCAAAGCAGUGAACACAUGUGUAAAUAUUAUCUGCAGUCCUUGGGACCAAGAAGGUCUUGAGAUUAAAAGAAGAGGCAAGAAUCGCAAAAAAAAUAGAAAAAAAAUAGGACUCCAUUCACAUCCAGAGAGAAAAUCGUCUCUUUUACGUGUGAGUCCAGGCUCGAGAGAGAAGAGUUGUCCCUUGUUAAGCUGUUAGGUAUGGUGAAAUCAUCAACAAGUAAAAUCUCUGUGAUAUGAGUUUUCAUCCCAAUCUCCACACGUACGGCGACACCAGAACACAGAUUCACACAUCAGGUAAGCUCUGAGGACAAGAGAGGCCGGCGGGAAUGCUGCGAAGGUAGGCGCUUCGGCGUGAAGAGAUGCAACAACGACUGCUCGAUCUCCGUUGCUCAUCAUUAAUUCUCUAGUCGUCAGUCAGCAGUGUCCACCAUUUUUCUGAAGAAAUUGGUCGUAUUAUUCUGCAGUCCGCGCCAUGCUCACGCACAGCACCAGUGCACAGAAGCUUCUCGACAUUGUUGUCCGCACUGCAGCACCUAAACGGCUUUAUUAUACAGUAGCUUCCAAAAGGAACGAACUGAAAUCCCC